GGGGAUGUAAAGGUUUCGACGUGCAUAGUUGUAUCAUGAACAGCGAGUCGGGGUUUCAUCUGCCCGCAAAUCGGUGAACUUUUAAAUUAAACGCAAAAGAAAACAAUUUUGCUUUAGCUGCCUAAGCGCAGCUGACGUCUCUUACCGCUAAUCCUGCGUGCGGUCUGUAGGCGACACUCAGCGGGAUACUGCACAAUCGGGCCCUACGGUUGUGUCGGGAACCUACAGGGCUUGGUCGAUGGGGUUUGUCCUUGUACGAACAUCGACUGAAAUCCCUAACAAGGACUGCGCUCGGAGAGGUUCAUGGGGCAGUGUGUACGGACAGGAGUUCGACUCUCCUCAUCUCCACCA
rfam:Megasphaera micronuciformis F0359 genomic scaffold Scfld98, whole genome shotgun sequence.